rnacentral:rRNA from 1 species
AGUGAACGCUGGCGGUAGGCCUAACACAUGCAAGUCGAACGGCAGCACAGUAAGAGCUUGCUCUUACGGGUGGCGAGUGGCGGACGGGUGAGGAAUACAUCGGAAUCUACUUUUUCGUGGGGGAUAACGUAGGGAAACUUACGCUAAUACCGCAUACGACCUACGGGUGAAAGCAGGGGAUCUUCGGACCUUGUGCGAUUGAAUGAGCCGAUGUCGGAUUAGCUAGUUGGCGGGGUAAAGGCCCACCAAGGCGACGAUCCGUAGCUGGUCUGAGAGGAUGAUCAGCCACACUGGAACUGAGACACGGUCCAGACGCCUACGGGAGGCAGCAGUGGGGAAUAUUGGACAAUGGGCGCAAGCCUGAUCCAGCCAUACCGCGUGGGUGAAGAAGGCCUUCGGGUUGUAAAGCCCUUUUGUUGGGAAAGAAAAGCAGCAGGUUAAUACCCCGCUGUUCUGACGGUACCCAAAGAAUAAGCACCGGCUAACUUCGUG